UUGGUUUUAUGUGUUUGAGCUUUUGAUUUUGCCUUUUGUUAAGGGUUUUUUCCGUUUUGAAUUUUUUAUUUUUGAUUCACAUUUUGUAAUUAUACGUGUGGCCUAUGUAUAACAAACUUCCUAUGGGUAUGAGUUUUGCUUCUUAAUUAACUUUAACAUUGUUUAUAUUUGUGAAAAGUUCCCGUCAUUCGAAGAAAAACAAAGAGAGUGAGCUCUUGAGAAAUAUGAUUCUGCAAUUGCUUUGGUUUUUUUAAACAUCUAAAAUUGAAGUGCCCUGAAA
rnacentral:lncRNA from 1 species